rnacentral:rRNA from 1 species
CUGGUUGAUCCUGCCAGUAGUCAUAUGCUUGUCUCAAAGACUAAGCCAUGCAUGUCUAAGUAUAAGUAUUAUACAGCGAAACUGCGAAUGGCUCAUUAAAACAGUUAUAGUUUAUUUGACACUCAAAUCUAUAUGGAUACCCGUGGUAAUUCUAGAGCUAAUACAUGCUGUUGAGCCCGACUUCUUGGAAGGGCGGUAUUUAUUAGAUAACAAGCCAAUAUUCCUCUGGUCUAUUGUGGUGACUCAUGAUAACUGUCUCGGAUCGCAAGGCCUAUGGCCGCGAUAAGUCAUUCAAGUUUCUGCCCCAUCAGCUUUCGAUGGUAGUGUAUUGGACUACCAUGGUGUUUACGGGUAAAAGAGGAUUAGGGUUCGAUUCCGGAGAGGGAGCCUGAGAAACGGCUACCACAUCUAAGGAAGGCAGCAGGCGCGUAAAUUACCCAAUCCUGACUCAGGGAGGUAGUGACAAGAAAUAGCGGACAGAGGCCCUUGUGGCUUCUGGAUUGCAAUGAGCCGAAUUUACACCCCUUAGCGAAAAUCGAUUGGAGGGCAAGUCUGGU